rnacentral:tRNA from 1 species
GUUUGUAGCUCACUGGUAGAGCCCUUGCCUAGUAUGCAUGAGGCACUUGGUUCAAUUACCAGUACUACG